rnacentral:tRNA from 1 species
GCCGGGAUGGCGGAACUGGCAGACGCAGCGGACUCAAAAUCCGUCGGAAGCAAUUCCAUGGGGGUUCGACCCCCCCUCCCGGCA